rnacentral:rRNA from 1 species
CCUACGGGAGACAGCAGUGGGGAAUAUUGGGCAAUGGACGCAAGUCUGACCCAGCAACGCCGCGUGAAGGAAGAAGGCUUUCGGGUCGUAAACUUCUGUUAAGGGGGGAGAGCAGAAGAAGGUAGCCCUUGAAUAAGCCACGGCUAACUACGUGCCAGCAGCCGCGGUAAUACGUAGGUGGCAAGCGUUGUCCGGAUUUACUGGGUGUAAAGGGCGUGCAGCCGGAGAGACAAGUCAGAGGUGAAACCCACGGGCUCAACCCGUGAACUGCAUUUGAAACUGUAUGCCUGGAGAGUCGGAGAGGUAAUCGGAAUUCCUAGUGUAGCGGUGAAAUGCGUAGAUAUUAGGAAGAACACCAGUGGCGAAGGCGGAUUACUGGCCGAUAGCUGACGGUGAGGCGCGAAAGCGUGGGGAGCAAACAGGAUUAGAUACCCUUGUAGUC